rnacentral:rRNA from 1 species
GAACGCGAAGAACCUUACCUAGACUUGACAUCUCCUGAAUUACCCUUAACCGGGGAAGUCGGUACCUUUGGUACCGACAGGAAGACAGGUGGUGCAUGGUUGUCGUCAGCUCGUGUCGUGAGAUGUUGGGUUAAGUCCCGCAACGAGCGCAACCCUUAUUGUUAGUUGCUACCAUUUAGUUGAGCACUCUAGCGAGACUGCCCGGGUUAACCGGGAGGAAGGUGGGGAUGACGUCAAAUCAUCAUGCCCCUUAUGUCUAGGGCUACACACGUGCUACAAUGGCAAGUACAAAGAGACGCAAGACCGUGAGGUGGAGCAAAUCUCAAAAACUUGUCCCAGUUCGGAUUGUAGGCUGAAACUCGCCUACAUGAAGCCGGAGUUGCUAGUAAUCGCGAAUCAGCAUGUCCCGGUGAAUACGUUCCCGGGUCUUGUACACACC